rnacentral:tRNA from 1 species
GGGCUCAUAGCUCAGUUGGUUAGAGCGUUGCGUUGACAUCGCAAAGGUCAGAGGUUCGACUCCUCUUGGGCCCACCA